CUUUCCCUUCGGGGACAAAGUGACAGGUGGUGCAUGGUUGUCGUCAGCUCGUGUCGUGAGAUGAUGGGUUAAGUCCCGCAACGAGCGCAACCCCUAUUAUUAGUUGCCAGCAUUCAGUUGGGCACUCUAGUGAGACUGCCGGUGAUAAACCGGAGGAAGGUGGGGAUGACGUCAAAUCAUCGUGCCCCUUAUGACCUGGGCUACACACGUGCUACAAUGGAUGGUACAACGAGUCGCAAGGUCGCGAGGCCAAGCUAAUCUCUUAAAGCCAUUCUCAGUUCGGAUUGCAGGCUGCAACUCGCCUGCAUGAAGCCGGAAUCGCUAGUAAUCGCGGAUCAGCACGCCGCGGUGAAUACGUUC
rnacentral:rRNA from 1 species